GACGAACGCUGGCGGCGUGCCUAAUACAUGCAAGUCGAGCGAGCUUGCCUAGAUGAAUUUGGUGCUUGCACCAAAUGAAACUAGAUACAAGCGAGCGGCGGACGGGUGAGUAACACGUGGGUAACCUGCCCAAGAGACUGGGAUAACACCUGGAAACAGAUGCUAAUACCGGAUAACAACACUAGACGCAUGUCUAGAGUUUAAAAGAUGGUUCUGCUAUCACUCUUGGAUGGACCUGCGGUGCAUUAGCUAGUUGGUAAGGUAACGGCUUACCAAGGCAAUGAUGCAUAGCCGGGUUGAGAGACUGAUCGGCCACAUUGGGACUGAGACACGGCCCAAACUCCUACGGGAGGCAGCAGUAGGGAAUCUUCCACAAUGGACGCAAGUCUGAUGGAGCAACGCCGCGUGAGUGAAGAAGGGUUUCGGCUCGUAAAGCUCUGUUGGUAGUGAAGAAAGAUAGAGGUAGUAACUGGCCUUUAUUUGACGGUAAUUACUUAGAAAGUCACGGCUAACUACGUGCCGGCAGCCGCGGUAAUACGUAGGUGGCAAGCGUUGUCCGGAUUUAUUGGGCGUAAAGCGAGUGCAGGCGGUUCAAUAAGUCUGAUGUGAAAGCCUUCGGCUCAACCGGAGAAUUGCAUCAGAAACUGUUGAACUUGAGUGCAGAAGAGGAGAGUGGAACUCCAUGUGUAGCGGUGGAAUGCGUAGAUAUAUGGAAGAACACCAGUGGCGAAGGCGGCUCUCUGGUCUGCAACUGACGCUGAGGCUCGAAAGCAUGGGUAGCGAACAGG
rnacentral:rRNA from 1 species